CUGGUGUUCGGGUUGUCAUGCCAAUGGCACUGCCCGGUAGCUAAAUGCGGAAAAGAUAAGUGCUGAAAGCAUCUAAGCACGAAACUUGCCCCGAGAUGAGUCUUCCCUGAGACUUUGAGUCUCCUGAAGGAACGUUAAAGACGAUGACGUUGAUAGGCCGGGUGUGUAAGCGCAGCGAUGCGUUGAGCUAACCGGUACUAAUGAACCGUGAGGCUUAACCUU
rnacentral:rRNA from 1 species